rnacentral:tRNA from 1 species
GCCGAAAUAGCUCAGUUGGGAGAGCGUUAGACUGAAGAUCUAAAGGUCCCUGGUUCAAUCGUGGGUUUCGGCA